rnacentral:rRNA from 1 species
CCUACGGGAGGCAGCAGUGGGGAAUAUUGGACAAUGGGGGAAACCCUGAUCCAGCGACGCCGCGUGAGUGAAGAAGUAUUUCGGUACGUAAAGCUCUAUCAGCAGGAAAGAAAAUGACGGUACCUGACUAAGAAGCCCCGGCUAACUACGUGCCAGCAGCCGCGGUAAUACGUAGGGGGCAAGCGUUAUCCGGAUUUACUGGGUGGAAAGGGAGCGUAGACGGCAGCGCAAGUCUGGAGUGAAAUGCCGGGGCUCAACCCCGGAACUGCUCUGGAAACUGUGAAGCUGGAGUGCAGGAGAGGUAAGCGGAAUUCCUGGUGUAGCGGUGAAAUGCGUAGAUAUCAGGAGGAACACCAGCGGCGAAGGCGGCUUACUGGACUGUAACUGACGUUGAGGCUCGAAGGCGUGGGGAGCAAACAGGAUUAGAUACCCUGGUAGUC